rnacentral:lncRNA from 1 species
AGGCAGUUAACAUUCGUUUUACUUUAGUUUCGGGGGAGGGGGACGGGAGAGAGGGAGAGAGGGAAAGAAGGACAUGGAAACUUACAGUGAAAUUUUCGUUGUUUAUAGCUUUCUUGGGGAAGAAAACACAUGCACAAAUCCUGGUGUAAGGAAUAUUUUAAGCAUAUAUCUUCAAUAUCAUUCAUCCAGGACCGAGGUGCUACACAUGAAACUUGUAACCAGUUACUACAGGCGAAAGCAAAUCCAUGUCUUCAGGCUGGUGUCAUCAGGGAGAGAAGCUUUGGUUUCCACAUAAGGAUAUAAGAUCAUUGAUGUAAAACAAGACAUGUAACCUCUCAAAUUGAGAGAAUGGAUUGGAGAGAUAUUGUUGACCAUGUUUUCCCCUGUAUCUCACCUUCCCCUCUCCAAGACUUCCUUGUCAGUUACCCAUAUUGAUAUCAGUUUAUCCACAUCCAUGCUUUCAAGUUUAAACAAAGAAACUAGGCAAAGGCAGCUAUGUAUUCGCUAGGAUUAGGGAGGAGAAGAUAAUGAACCACUGGAUAGUGAGAAGAAAGAGAGGUGGAGAAAGUGAGAGACCCCAGUAACAGAGGACAGGGACACAUUGCUAAGGAUAGGGACACAUUCACUGUAAUAUAGAAGGCCAUGCUUAUAUGUAAAAUAUGCAGUAAUUGUAUAUAUAUGUACAAAAGUGAUGACACACAUAUGCACAUAAACAAAACACAAUUACUGUCUAUGUUUCUUUAUUUGUGACCUAAUGUUUUAUGUUGUUUGUAACUGAAAAAAAAAUUCCCUUCUGAAUAAAAUGUCAAUUUUGCGAUUGCA